UACGGGGGGGGUAAGCGUUGUUCGGAAUUACUGGGCGUAAAGGGCUCGUAGGCGGCCAACUAAGUCGGACGUGAAAUCCCUCAGCUUAACUGGGGAACUGCGUCCGAUACUGGAUGGCUUGGAUUUGGGAGAGGGAUGCGGAAUUCCAGGUGUAGCGGUGAAAUGCGUAGAUAUCUGGAGGAACACCAAUGGCGAAGGCAGCUCGCUGGGACGUGACUGACGCUGAGACGCGAAAGCGUGGGGAGCAAACAGG
rnacentral:rRNA from 1 species